GACGAACGCUGGCGGCGUGCUUAACACAUGCAAGUCGAACGGAAAGGCCCCUUUUGGGGUACUCGAGUGGCGAACGGGUGAGUAACACGUGAGUAACCUGCCCUUGACUUCGGGAUAACUUCAGGAAACUGGGGCUAAUACCGGAUAGGAAUCCUUGCUGCAUGGUGGGGGUUGGAAAGCUUUGGCGGUUUUGGAUGGACUCGCGGCUUAUCAGCUUGUUGGUGGGGUAGUGGCUUACCAAGGCUUUGACGGGUAGCCGGCCUGAGAGGGCGACCGGCCACAUUGGGACUGUGAUACGGCCCAGACUCCGACGGGAGGCAGCAGUGGGGAAUAUUGCACAAUGGGCGGAAGCCUGAUGCAGCAACGCCGCGGGCGGGAAGACGGCCUUCGGGUUGGAAACCGCUUUCAGCAGGGGCGAAGCUUGUGGUGACGGUACCUGCAGAAGAAGCACCGGCUAACUACGUG
rnacentral:rRNA from 1 species